CCCCUAAUCGGGGCGCAGCCUGAUCAGCAUGCCGCGUGGGUGAAGAAGGCCUUCGGGUUGUAAAGCCCUUUCGGCGGGGAAGAAAUCGGUCAGGCGAAUAGUCUGGCUGGAUGACGGUACCCGCAGAAGAAGCACCGGCUAACUACGUGCCAGCAGCCGCGGUAAUUGA
rnacentral:rRNA from 1 species